rnacentral:other from 1 species
GCUACCCUGCCGUGCCCGUGAUCCGCACAUCGGUUUUGAGCCAACACCCACACAUGGGGUACCGACGUCGUGACACGGACGCAUUAGGACUUGUCCAAAGCGGAAGUGUGCGCUAGGUGCCCACCUGCGAAAGCAGGUUCAAAACAUAGCGGCACACGGCAUGGCGGGAGGUCU